CCUGGAUCGAUGAUGCAACUGAUAUCUGCGUUAUCCUUCUGCAACCUGUAAGGUGCUGAAGAAGACAUUACUUGCUGAGAUCCCAGG